rnacentral:lncRNA from 1 species
UGUCGGCAGAUUGUUGGAGAUGAUGUCAUAGCUUUUUGUGUACAAAUUCUAAACGGAAAUAUGGAGGUUAGUCCGAUAAACUCUACAAAUAUAGUGCUUAUUCCAAAAGUCAACAACCCAUUAACUAUGAUGCAAUUUAGGCCAAUUAGUUUAUGCAAUGUACUUUAUAAAAUUAUAGCGAAUGUACUAGCAAACAGAUUUCGAAGUGUUAUUGGCAAAUGUAUUGAUGAAGCGCAAAGUGCUUUUGUGCCAGACAGGUUAAUAUCAGAUAAUGUAUUACUCGCUUAUGAAAUAUUGCAUAAGCUAAAGCAGAAGGGAACGGGGAAAAAAGGAUUUAUGGCCGUUAAACCCGAUAUGAGUAAAGUUUAUGACAGGGUUGAAUGGAGUUUUAUAGAGGAGAUUAUGACAAGGAUGGGAUUUGAUUUUAGUUGGGUAAAUGCCAUUAUGAAAUGUGUUUCAUCUGUUGCUUAUUCAGUUGUCAUUAAUGGGCACAAAGGAGAUAAAUUUGUACCAACCAGAAGACUUAGACAAGGCGACCCAUUAAGUCCGUUUUUAUUCCUGAUAUGUGGUGAAGUUUUAUCGAGCUUAUUGAGGUUAACAAUGAAGAGAGAUCGUCUCAAAGGAAUACGGGUGAGUAGGUAUGGUCCGCAGGUAUCUCAUCUUUUAUUUGCUGAUGAUUGCAUACUGUUUGGAGAGGCAACGAGGAGGGGUGCAAACGUCAUAAAGGAUAUUCUGUGUGAAUUCAAAGUUUGCUCGGGACAAUGUGUAAAUUUCGAUAAAUCAACGGUAUUUUUCAGUAAAAACACGUUGGAGGAGGAUAGGAGACAGGUGGUCAAUGUGUUGGGGGUACGUAGGACAAGUGAACCUGAAAGAUAUUUAGGGCUACCCAAUAUGGUGGGGCGAAAGAAAAAAGAAGCUUUUCAGAGUUUAAAUGAUCGAAUAAAAAAACGUAUUGAUAACUGGAGUAACAGGUUUUUAUCACAAGGAGGGAAAGAAAUUUUUAUUAAGGCCAUUCUGCAAGCUAUUCCGACUUAUUCUAUGGCAUGCUUCUUAUUGCUGAGAGCUCUUUGCGAUGAAAUGGAGAGUAUUAUAGCAAGAUUCUGGUGGCAGAAAGGAGGGGGCAAAAGGGGAAUUCAUUGGUGCACUUGGAAAAACCUUUGUUUGCUAAAAGAAAAUGGUGACUUAGGUUUUCGAGAUCUUAGUCAAUUUAAUAUUGCGUUAUUAGCUAAACAAGGUUGGCGUCUCAUUAAUUUUCCAAAUUCUUUAUUAGCCAGAGUUUUGAAAGCUAAAUAUUUCCCAAAGUCAAGUUUCUUAAAUGCAAAGUUGGGGAAUUUACCUUCAUUUACCUGGAAGAGCAUCUGGGCAGCAAGAGGACUUCUCCAAAGAGGAUUGGGUUGGAGAGUUGGUAAAGGUAAUAGCAUUUCUAUCUGGGAAGACAACUGGAUUCAGGGGAUCGAUAAGGUGGAUGAACAUAAUAGAACAAACAGAAGGGAACUACAGUUAGUUUCAAACCUCAUUGAUAAUUCAAGCAGAAAAUGGAAGUCAGACUUAAUUAAUAGUACCUUUCAAGAAGAUACUGCUCGGAAGAUUUUACAAAUUCCCCUGGCAGAGACCGAACAUGAGGAUAUUCAAGUGUGGAGUGGAGAACUAUCUGGUGAGUUUUCAGUACGUAGUGCCUAUAAAUUAUUACAAGAUGCUUCUACAGCCAAUGACUACUUACUACAGACCGAAAUAAAAAAUUUUACAAAAAAUUAUGGAGCCAACAAUUGCCUUCAAAAAUUGCAAUUACAAUUUGGAGGAUUUCAUGGGAUUAUAUCCCUCAUCUUGGUAAUCUCAAUUUGAGGAGGGUCAUUUCAACUGCCUGUUGUCCACGGUGUUAUUCUGGAGUAGAAGAGAGUCUUCAUGUUUUCCGAGAGUGUCCUUUCACAAGAGAAGUGUGGCAAUCAUUAAAUUUAUCAUGGGUCAUGGAGAAUACGAGUCAGAAUACAUGGGAGUGGCUAACCUGGGUUUUCAAGAACAGCAACUAUUACCAAUGUCGGCUUUUCUGCUAUGCGUUAUGGUUGAUAUGGUCCUUUAGAAAUAAACUCAUUCACGAGGGGAAAAAUUCAACAGGAAGGGGAUUAGCUCAGAAUAUUCAAAGACAUAUGGCAGAAUAUGAAGGAAUAAAUGCUGUGAAGAAAACUGAGAAAAUUUUCAGGAGUCACAGAAUACAGGAAAACGUACCGAGAAUAUCGAUCAAAUUUGAUACAGCACUGGACAGUAGAACCUCUAAAUCAACGACUGGAUUAGUAGGUUGGGAUAUGAGGGGAAAUCUACUGGUGUUAAAAACGGUUAUCCACAUAAAUGUCCCCUCACCAUUCGCAGCAGAGGCAUAUGCAUGUUUAGAAGGCAUGAAAUUAGGGAUUGCAUUAGGAUCUCAGUCAGUUAGAAUUAUGGGAGACUCAAAAACCGUCAUAAAGAAGAGCAAGGCGACUUCAACAGACAGAUCGGUAAUAGGUGCCAUUAUAAAAGAUAUUCAGAACAAGAAAUCCUUUUUUCAAGAUCUUACUUUUAAGCACAUCCAUAGAUCAGAAAACACACAUGCACAUGGUCUAGCAAAGAAAGCUCUUGCGAAAGAAGAAAACAUUUACCUGAUAGGAGAAGAACUGGAACGUCAUAUUUCAACCUUGGAUGAAGAUUGGCAAAGAAAUCCGGAUUGAAGAAAUGGGUGAAAGAGCAACAUCCAAUAUAGAUAGCUUAAUGAUGUUUAAAUCUGUGGGGAAGAGCUAUCGACACAACAGAUGGGACCUUGGAAAUGACUCUUCAAUAGCCUUUAUGGUUUCCAGCUGUUCUGAUUAUUGACUGGGAUAGGAUUUUGUUCGGUUGAUUUUAAUUUCAUUUAAUGCUUUUGUUUUUCU